rnacentral:tRNA from 1 species
UGGCUCAGUUGGUAGAGCAUGGCGCUUGCAACGCCAGGGUUGUGGGUUUGUUUCCCAC